rnacentral:misc_RNA from 1 species
AAUGAAUCAGCCCAAUUUUCUACUUCUUGCAUAUCCAAUAAUUAGAUUUAAUAAAGAGUACCAGAUAUCAUAUGAAAACGCCUUUCAUUUCCUAGCGCAACAAAUGUGUAGCAUACUAGUACGUGCUUGCAUGUGUCUAUCACACAUGCCAAUAAAUUUUUUUUUUUUGGGUCUAGGGAUUCCAUGUGUAGCACCCUAGGUCCACCUAAGCCAAAUAACUUUCAGACUCAAACCACUUGGCCUAAAAUGGUUAAUCCAAAUUAUUAACUUAGGGUUAUUUAAAUCUAGGCUAAUUGGACCAAAAAAUCCAAACCUUUGUGCUUAUUGACUACUUUAUCCAAAGAUCUCAAUUUCAAAUCAAUUGACCCUAACUUUAAAAUUCAAACAAAUUUUAUACAACACUCAAAAUCAGUUUAGGGAUAUUUGGCUUUUAUCCAGCUAAAUCACCCUAAAAUAUAUCUAUAAAAUUUGCUGCUGACAUUCUUGUGCAACGAAUCUACUGCAAGGCUAUUAUUGAAGUUGCUAAUCAUGAAUUAUCCCCAAAUUGAUUUUGAAUGUUGGAUAAAAUUUCUUUUGAAUUUUAAAGUUUGGGUCAA